rnacentral:rRNA from 1 species
CUGAUGCAGCGACGCCGCGUGAGGGAUGACGGCCUUCGGGUUGUAAACCUCUUUCAGCAGGGAAGAAGCGAAAGUGACGGUACCUGCAGAAGAAGCGCCGGCUAACUACGUGCCAGCAGCCGCGGUAAUACGUAGGGCGCAAGCGUUGUCCGGAAUUAUUGGGCGUAAAGAGCUCGUAGGCGGCUUGUCACGUCGAUUGUGAGAGCUCGGGGCUUAACCCCGAGUCUGCAGUCGAUACGGGCUAGCUAGAGUGUGGUAGGGGAGAUCGGAAUUCCUGGUGUAGCGGUGAAAUGCGCAGAUAUCAGGAGGAACACCGGUGGCGAAGGCGGAUCUCUGGGCCAUUACUGACGCUGAGGAGCGAAAGCGUGGGGAGCGAACAGGAUUAGAUACCCUGGUAGUCCACGCCGUAAACGGUGGGAACUAGGUGUUGGCGACAUUCCACGUCGUCGGUGCCGCAGCUAACGCAUUAAGUUCCCCGCCUGGGGAGUACGGCCGCAAGGCUAAAACUCAAAGGAAUUGACGGGGGCCCGCACAAGCAGCGGAGCAUGUGGCUUAAUUCGACGCAACGCGAAGAACCUUACCAAGGCUUGACAUACACCGGAAAGCAUUAGAGAUAGUGCCCCCCUUGUGGUCGGUGUACAGGUGGUGCAUGGCUGUCGUCAGCUCGUGUCRUGAGAUGUUGGGUUAAGUCCCGCAACGAGCGCAACCCUUGUUCUGUGUUGCCAGCAUGCCCUUCGGGGUGAUGGGGACUCACAGGAGACCGCCGGGGUCAACUCGG